GACGAACGCUGGCGGCGUGCUUAACACAUGCAAGUCGAACGAUGAAGCCUAGCUUGCUAGGUGGAUUAGUGGCGAACGGGUGAGUAAUACGUGAGUAACCUACCUUUAACUCUGGGAUAAGCCUGGGAAACUGGGUCUAAUACCGGAUACGACCAAUCUCCGCAUGGGGUGUUGGUGGAAAGCGUUAUGUAGUGGUUAUAGAUGGGCCCACGGCCUAUCAGCUUGUUGGUGAGGUAACGGCUCACCAAGGCGACGACGGGUAGCCGGCCUGAGAGGGUGACCGGCCACACUGGGACUGAGACACGGCCCAGACUCCUACGGGAGGCAGCAGUGGGGAAUAUUGCACAAUGGGCGCAAGCCUGAUGCAGCGACGCCGCGUGAGGGAUGACGGCCUUCGGGUUGUAAACCUCUGUUAGCAGGGAAGAAGAGAGAUUGACGGUACCUGCAGAGAAAGCGCCGGCUAACUACGUGCCAGCAGCCGCGGUAAUACGUAGGGCGCGAGCGUUGUCCGGAAUUAUUGGGCGUAAAGAGCUUGUAGGCGGUUUGUCGCGUCUGCUGUGAAAGGCCGGAGCUUAACUCCGUGUAUUGCAGUGGGUACGGGCAGACUAGAGUGCAGUAGGGGAGACUGGAAUUCCUGGUGUAGCGGUGGAAUGCGCAGAUUUCAGGAGGAACACCGAUGGGCGAAGGCAGGUCUCUGGGCUGUAACUGACGCUGAGAAGCGAAAGCAUGGGGAGCGAACAGGAUUAGAUACCCUGGUAGUCCAUGCCGUAAACGUUGGGCACUAGGUGUGGGGAACAUUCCACGUUUUCCGCGCCGUAGCUAACGCAUUAAGUGCCCCGCCUGGGGAGUACGGCCGCAAGGCUAAAACUCAAAGAAAUUGACGGGGGCCCGCACAAGCGGCGGAGCAUGCGGAUUAAUUCGAUGCAACGCGAAGAACCUUACCAAGGCUUGACAUAUACUGGACCGCAUCAGAGAUGGUGUUUCCCUUCGGGGCUGGUAUACAGGUGGUGCAUGGUUGCCGUCAGCUCGUGUCGUGAGAUGUUGGGUUAAGUCCCGCAACGAGCGCAACCCUCGUUCUAUGUUGCCAGCACGUUAUGGUGGGGACUCAUAGGAGACUGCCGGGGUCAACUCGGAGGAAGGUGGGGAUGACGUCAAAUCAUCAUGCCCCUUAUGUCUUGGGCUUCACGCAUGCUACAAUGGCCGGUACAGAGGGUUGCGAUACUGUGAGGUGGAGCUAAUCCCUAAAAGCCGGUCUCAGUUCGGAUUGGGGUCUGCAACUCGACCCCAUGAAGUCGGAGUCGCUAGUAAUCGCAGAUCAGCAACGCUGCGGUGAAUACGUUCCCGGGCCU
rnacentral:rRNA from 1 species